UACGAAGGGGGCUAGCGUUGCUCGGAAUGACUGGGCGUAAAGGGCGCGUAGGCGGAAUAUACAGUCAGACGUGAAAUUCCCGGGCUCAACCUGGGGGCUGCGUUUGAUACGUAUGUUCUUGAGUGUGAAAGAGGGUCGUGGAAUUCCCAGUGUAGAGGUGAAAUUCGUAGAUAUUGGGAAGAACACCGGUGGCGAAGGCGGCGACCUGGUUCAUUACUGACGCUGAGGCGCGAAAGCGUGGGGAGCAAACAGG
rnacentral:rRNA from 1 species